rfam:Asian citrus Psyllid, Diaphorina citri - Florida Strain, whole genome shotgun sequence.
GCCUAGUUAGCCUGGUUGGUAGCGCUUCUGUCUUGUAAGCGCUAGGCCACGGGUUCGAUUCCCGUCUGAGGCG